rnacentral:rRNA from 1 species
ACUCCUACGGGAGGCAGCAGUGGGGAAUAUUGCACAAUGGGCGAAAGCCUGAUGCAGCGACGCCGCGUGAGGGAUGACGGCCUUCGGGUUGUAAACCUCUUUCAGCAGGGACGAAGCGCAAGUGACGGUACCUGCAGAAGAAACACCGGCUAACUACGUGCCAGCAGCCGCGGUAAU